UACAGAGGUCUCGAGCGUUAGGCGGAAUCACUGGGCUUAAAGCGUGUGUAGGCGGAUCGUUAAGUACCUUGUGAAAUCCCACGGCUUAACCGUGGAACUGCUUGGUAUACUGGCGGUCUUGAGCCAGCUAGGGGCUACCGGAACAAAUGGUGGAGCGGUGAAAUGCGCAGAUAUCAGGAGGAACACCCGUAGCGAAGGCGGCACUCUGGGCCGAUACUGACACUGAGGAGCGAAAGCGUGGGGAGCGAACAGG
rnacentral:rRNA from 1 species